rnacentral:rRNA from 1 species
GGGGAAUAUUGCACAAUGGGCGAAAGCCUGAUGCAGCAACGCCGCGUGAGUGAUGAAGGUCUUCGGAUUGUAAAGCUCUGUCUUUUGGGACGAUAAUGACGGUACCAAAGGAGGAAGCCACGGCUAACUACGUGCCAGCAGCCGCGGUAAUACGUAGGUGGCGAGCGUUGUCCGGAUUUACUGGGCGUAAAGGGUGCGUAGGCGGAUGUUUAAGUGAGAUGUGAAAUACCCGGGCUUAACUUGGGUGCUGCAUUUCAAACUGGAUAUCUAGAGUGCAGGAGAGGAGAAUGGAAUUCCUAGUGUAGCGGUGAAAUGCGUAGAGAUUAGGAAGAACACCAGUGGCGAAGGCGAUUCUCUGGACUGUAACUGACGCUGAGGCACGAAAGCGUGGGUAGCAAACAGGAUUAGAUACCCUGGUAGUCCACGCCGUAAACGAUGAGUACUAGGUGUAGGAGGUAUCGACCCCCUCUGUGCCGCAGUAAACACA